AGGGAAUUGUCCUAUGAUGGAUGAGCCUGCCUCAAGCUGCCAUAAGCUGGGAGGACCAACGGUUGACUGACACUGCCUGCUUGGUUGGCCAUUACCGAUUCUUGAGAAGAUGAGGACCGCCAAGCUUGGAUGACACUGGAAAAUUACGAAGCUGCUCUAUCUGGACAACGAUGCCCUCAUCAGACACUUUCCGAUUUGCGGAAUAUUGGAUCAAAAAUCAGACUGCAUAUUAUUUUGCAAUAUUAUAAAACAUCAAAACGACUAAAAUACGAAUUCUUACGCCAAAGAUACCGCUAUAAUUGGAAGAAAUAAUAGCUUAAAUCACUGUUACUUGUUAACUUUACUGAGAUACCUAUACCUGAAAUAUUUGACAAUGAAUAUGACGAAAAUUGAAGAAAAAUAGUCAAAUGUGUGUUACAAGUACAUUGCAGUAAAAAUCAAAUCAUGAGCGGAUUUUCUUCUCACAGAAAUGCUUCUCUGCUUCCAACAAGUGGCUGAGAAAAUGAUGAAAUUUACGCCGAAAAUAACUGAAAUCAGUGUUGUUUUUGAAAUAUUUGACUAAACGCGUGUGACGAAACAUGGAAACAAAAAUCAAAUCGGUCCAAAUUAAAUUACAACGAAAACCACAUAGUAUAUACGUGGAGAUUCUUCUCGAAGCAUGGCACUCUGUUUCUACAGGUAGCUACAGGAAAAUUACGAAAGUUACACCGAAAAUCAACGCGACAUAUAAGUGAAGUGACGAAACAUAGUUUACACGGCUAAAAAUAUCACAGCUUUAGUGAGAGAAAUAAUACUUGAUAUCAGUGUUAUUUGUCUUACCUACAAAGUGAGAAAAAAAAUCGAUAGCGGAAGAACCAAAUUAAAGAGACGAAAAUUACGGUAAAAAGAUUAACAGCGGCAGCGAAAGAAAUAAAUAUUUCAAAAUCGGUAAUUUUCUAAACUUCUAGGCCCUAUGCCAUGCAAAAAUUUGCUAAAGAAAAUGACCGAAAUAAUGUUAACAAAAAAAAAUUCAAAUUAUAAUCGGCAGCCACUUCCGGUACGGUACUACACUGCUUAAAAAAGUCGGAAACCGAAUUCGGUAAACGGUGCACCGCGGUGGGGAAAAUGACGGCAGAAAAAAGUUUUUAAAAAUGACGGAAAUUAAGGAAAAACUCCAUUAUGUCGAUGUAAAGAAAUUGACUGAAUUUCAAUUAAAGCAGCAUGUUAAAGGCAUUCCCCCCAAGUUCUAGGCCUACACCGCUUCUUUUAAGUAUUAUUCGUCAGCUAAAAUAACUGCAAUUUUUGACAUUGUCAAGAAGUUUGCCUUCAAAAAGGCCAGAAAUAGCCAGGUUAUGCAUGUGAAAGGGUACAACUUAAGUGUAAUCAACAAAGCGGCGAUAGGGAAAAUGGCUGUACAGUAAAUAAGACAUGCGACAUAUUUACCAACGCAUGCGACAUUUCUUCGUGUUUUUGUAAAGGUUUAAACUUAAUCUACAUCAUUUUUGUGAGUCCGAUUUGGAAAGAUCGGCAGG